CUGACCACGGGGCCGGCAGCGGGGGGAGAACGGAGGGGGUGAGGGGUAGUCGGAGUGAGCGGGCGUAAGGCGGGCGUAGGCGGCUUGGUAAGUCGGUUGGGAAAGCCCUGGGCUUAACCUGGGAAUUGCAUUCGAUACUGCCGAGCUAGAGUAUGGGAGAGGGAAGUGGAAUUUCCGGUGUAGCGGUGAAAUGCGUAGAUAUCGGAAGGAACACCAGUGGCGAAGGCGACUUCCUGGCCCAAUACUGACGCUGAGGUGCGAAAGCGUGGGGAGCAAACAGGAUUAGAUACCCGGGUAGUC
rnacentral:rRNA from 1 species